rnacentral:rRNA from 1 species
CAGCAGCCGCCGCGGUAAUACGUAGGUGGCAAGCGUUGUCCGGAAUUAUUGGGCGUAAAGGGCUCGCAGGCGGUUUCUUAAGUCUGAUGUGAAAGCCCCCGGCUCAACCGGGGAGGGUCAUUGGAAACUGGGAAACUUGAGUGCAGAAGAGGAGAGUUGAAUUCCACGUGUAGCGGUGAAAUGCGUAGAGAUGUGGAGGAACACCAAUGGCGAAGGCGACUCUCUGGUCUGUAACUGACGCUGAGGAGCGAAAGCGUAGGGAGCGAACAGGAUUAGAGACCCGAGUAGUCCCUGUCUCUUAUAC